UCCCGCUGAACUGAGCUCGCCA
rnacentral:piRNA from 1 species